CCUCCCAGGGUUAGUCGGGACCUAAGCCGAGGCCGAGAGGCGUAGGCGAUGGAUAACAGGUUGAGAUUCCUGUACUGGUUAAACUUGUUUGAACAAUGAAGGGACGCAGGAGGCUAUCGAUGCGUACUGUUGGAUAUGUACGUUCAAGCAACAAGUCUGUAGAUGAGUCAAAUGCUUAUCUACUUAAGGAUAAGUUGUGAUGAGGAGCGAAAUUUAGUAGCGAAGUGAGAGACGUCACACUGCCAAGAAAAGCUUCUAGUUAGAGUUUAAUCACCCGUACCGCAAACCG
rnacentral:rRNA from 1 species